rnacentral:rRNA from 1 species
AGGACUAACGCUGGCGGCGUGCCUAACACAUGCAAGUCGAGCGGGGUAGCAAUACCCAGCGGCAGACGGGUGAGUAACGCGUGGUCAACCUUCCGUUGAAUGGGGGAUAACUAGCCGAAAGGUUAGCUAAUACCGCAUACGAUCUUUUGAAGGCAUCUUUAAAAGAUGAAAGGAGCAAUUCGUUCAACGACGGGACCGCGUCCCAUUAGCUAGAUGGUGGGGUAAUGGCCUACCAUGGCAACGAUGGGUAGCUGGUUUGAGAGAGCGACCAGCCACACUGGGACUGAGAAACGGCCCAGACUCCUACGGGAGGCAGCAGUGAGGAAUUUUCCGCAAUGGGCAAAGCCUGACGGAGCGACGCCGCGUGUGGGAAGAAGGCCUUCGGGUCGUAAACCACUGUCGAAGGGGACGAUAAUGACGGUACCCUUGGAGGAAGCCCCGGCUAACUACGCGCCAGCAGCCGC